rnacentral:lncRNA from 1 species
AAUAUCUGAUUGUGGUAUUAGAUGAACUCAAAAAAAGGGCAAUCAAUAUAUAAGGGAGGCAAAGGGAGAAGACGUGAGGCUCUGUUCCAGCUAUGUUAGUCCUCUUUGUAAGGUUGAUGGACUCCAACUGCACUGUCUGGAAGAUCCUAACGAGUGUUACUGAAAAACAAAAAGAGUAGCCUGAGGCUGAAGACCUCAUCCAUCUUCAUUAACUACAGUUCUCCACAGACCUGUAGACAACCUGAAGUAAAGAAAGUUUCACAACGGAAGGCAAUAAAUCGUGGUUUUGCCCCAAAAGAAACGGCUCCUGGAAACAACAAAAGGUUUUAGGGCUGUUGUUCUCAGAGAAGAUUAAAUGGCUGGCUAUGGAAACCUUGGCACAUAAGGAGCACAGGACUGCUCCAAAAGAUAAGUAGUCAUUACAAGUACUAGCUAGCAUCACAAAUGAGGUGUUUGCAAGAUUGUAUAUCAGCAGCUGAUGGACUUUUCACGGUAUAGUCAAAGGUAAAGGGUAUGGCUAGGGGGAGUAUGGCAUGAAAAAUGUUAACAUUCAGAAAAUAAAGUCACUAUGGUUUAUUGUAGAUA